CUCUGUUCUAUUCUUUUCUAAAUGUCUUCUAAUGUGUUCUUCAUCUGGAAUGUUUUAUUAGAAGGUGGAACGAUUUAGGCCCGAGGUGAAGGAUGGUUAUGUUUUAUCGUUCGGAAGUCCGAUCGAUUUAGCUUUGUUUUUCUUUUCUUUUUCUGUUUCAGUAUAAUCUAACCGAGGGCAUAGAGUUCGGUUGUUGUUCAGGUCUUCUUGUCAUCUGACUCUUUGAAUUAGGGUUUAUAUUUCUCUCUCUCUCUCUCUCUCUCUGAUUCAUUUGGGGGUUUGGUCAAUUUUUAAGAGUACGCGUUAUUUUCUUCCGAGGCCGACAGUUUAUGGGGGUUGUGAAUUUUGAUCCGAUCGGAUAUCCAUCUCUUCUUUGGGAUUCCAAUGAGUAAUAGGAGCAAGAUCCCGGAUUUCAGAUUAAAGAAAAUGGAGAUUUGUAUCAACAUGGGGAGGUUUAUAAAAGCAACAUUGUUGGUGAAAGGAUUAUGUGUCUGUUAUGUGUCUGAUCUCCUUGCUUGUGGCAUUGAACUAUCUUCACCAUAUCGGACAAAGUGGCCCUUUUGGGAGAAAGGAUGUUGCAAUCAACCUUUUUACCAGGAUGUUUUUUGACAUCCAGACAUUUUACAAUGUGGUGGUUGAGUAGCUACCACCAAUGUUGUAAACUUGUCGAAGAUUCUCUUGGGUUAUUCUGGCGUAUAAAGAGACUCGUCAAUUGCCAGUGUAAAUUCCAUCUGCCCGGAUGGUUGCCCAAACCCAUAUAUCACUCUUCCUUCUUUGCGUAGUUGCAGCAGCAAGGUCGUCUUUCUCCCUUUUUGUCAAGCUUUUCUGGUUCUACAUGUUUUCUUUGAUUUUGUUUUUUUUUCUUGGUUUAAUUGUUGGAGGAUUCAUGCAUUAUAGCAAUUACAUUUUUCGUUGGUUGUCCACUUAUUAUUGAGAUUUGUGCUAAAUCAAAUGCAUAUAUGCUAUGCAUUGACCGCAUUAAUCAUGUCCUGAAUGUUUUGGUCCAGCAUGAUGUGCACAUUAAAUUGCUGAUUUUUUUUUGGUUGACUUGGAACUUUUGCGUCACAAGGUCCGUUUGGGCACACGCUCAUGAAGUCUCUGAUGCUUCGAACCAAUUGUUCUUUAAUUGUAUAACUAUACACACACACAUAUAUAUAUAUAUAUAUAUAUAUAUAUAUAUAUAUAUAUAUUCCAAUCUGUUACUCUUAAGAAGAUUUUUUUUGGCAAUAGAGACACAUUUUCUAACUUAAGUUGAAUAUACUUUUUUUUUUCCUAUUUUCUGAGUUGUCUGAGCUUGGAAUGAGACUCCACUUUGGUUAAUGUGGUUGGAUCCCAACCAUUGAUACUGUACCAAUACUGAUUUGUCCUAUUAUUUUCACCAUUGUUGCCAUCGUCACUAUCAUUAUAGUGGAUGCCAGUGGUAAGCACUGGAACUAUUAUCCACAUUUUACCCCUUUUUUUUUCUUUACGAAUAUCUUCCUACCUAACGGCUAGCACGCUCGUCUUUUAUCCAUCUGUCUCUGCUGCUGUUAACAUAUUGACCCCAUGCCUCAGAAAUGUCGGUGUUGAUUCACUCGGUCUGACUGGUGAACACCCUCACCCAACCGCCAAACCCCAGUGAGUGGUCCUCAAGAUUCGUGACUCGCACAUGACUACAGAUAGUAGGAGAAGCCUGUCGACCCACCCCCUUCCCUCUACUUACAGCUUCAUGAGUUGGCUUCCUCGAUCGUUCUUUUGGUAAGGGAGACGAGAGCAAGAAACCUCGAAGCCAUCGUUCCACCCCGACCUCCCCUCUCCUCUCCACCUCCUCUGCCCGCUUCCUCACUGUCGAUUCGCCACCGUCGCUCUCAACGGCGAUGGUGUUACGUGUAGUGCGAUCGCCACCGUGGCCCUAAGCCGCUAUCUUCUUCCGCUGCAGUCAGACGAUCCUAACAACUAUUGAGAGACCACGUAUCUAGGGUCCAAAUCAUGUUCGCCUGGGGCGAUUGCCGGUCUGCCACCGUAGUUCUUGGUUUUCGGUUGAUGCCCAUGACUCAUUAAUAGAAAGGGAGUGUGAAAGAGACAGGGAGAGAGCGUAGCAAGCGAGGUAGAGGUGGGACGAAGAAUUAGGAAGUAAGACGAAAAGUUGUGUGAACCAGGUGGGGUAAAGUAACUUAAUUAGUGAUUUGAAGCUUUGAUAUAGCCAGAAGAUAUCACGUGAUCCGCAUCAGAAUGAUGGUUUUUCAAUCUCACGUGGCUGAGGAGGUCUAUGAGGAGCCAAAUGGACUGCGAAGAAGGAUCUGCUCCUCCCCUCUCUUAACCAGAUGGUAAGGCGACAUGUUUCUCUACUCAACCUUCGUUCUUCUCUUUCAAUCCUUCUUGUAUUCUUUUCUAGAAUCGCCGAUGAUGUUGAGAUCCGUCAUGUUUCAAUGGGACUUGUAUAGCCGAUCGAAAUUCUUGGAAGAGCCAAACGAAGUGCGAAGAAGUAUCUCCGCUACUUUCCUCUUCAACAAUAUUAUUAGACUACGUGAUUCUCUACUGAUCCUUUGUUGUCA